UUUUCCAGUUGAUGUGAUACAAGAAAAUUAUGUCCGUAAUGUGAGAAACUGCAUUUUUUCAGUUGUCUAUCCUACACCUUUUAAAUCUAGAGUUCAUCUUGUAGCUGUUUCAAAGGAAGUUCUUGAAAAUAUUUUGGAUCUUGAUAUAUCUGUCAAAGGAUCAUCUGAUUUUCUGGAGUUUGUCAGUGGUGGGAAAGUGAUAUUUGGGUCUGUUCCACUGGCCCAUAGGUAUGGGGGUCACCAGGUAAGUAUGGCACUUGUUCUUCCAGGUGGAAUUGUGUAGGUCUUUUCUUGUGAAUUACACCUUGAUGAUACCUGUAAGUAUUGAUAAUACCUGAGUAUAUGCCUGUGAGUGCAUGAACGCUUACUAACAUUUUGAUUCCAGACUUGUUCUUCAUAACAGGCUGCAGGUGAAAGAGAACUAUAAUAUCCUUUCACAAUACCUGUUUACUUGCUCUGCUUUUGUUUAUGCCUGGAGAAAAUUAUUGUUUUAACUUUCAUUAGCUGCCGAGCCUGCUUAGCACCCCACAGCCUGGCCAGCUCUGCUUUGUGAUAGACACUAAGAGCUCAGAGGAGUGGAGAAGGACAGAGCCUCACUGCAACACCAUGAUUGCUAAGAUUCACAUUUCAUUGGAAUGGCUAUGAUUAUUCAUGGAGAAGAAUUUGAUUUGUAAUUUCCAAUUAAAAAAAAAACAAACCAAAACAAGCCGUGUGGGUUUAAAGGCUCAUUAUACAAAAAAGACAGGUCUGUAGCUGUACGUCAUAGCUGGAAGGUAAAAAAACCAGAGGAUUACUGCUGUUUCUCUUUUCCUGCGGUUUUCUGAUUCAUUUCUGGAGUGAGUGUGGAAAUACAGCUUUAGGGAUCAACAUUUUAAUGUAAGCAAAUGUAUCUUUUGUGAGGACCUCGAUUUAAUCUGUAUUGUUUCAAGUAUAACUUCUACAAAUGAUGGAGGACAAUAACUUGAUUUAAAUUUUUGCCAGUUUGGUAGCUGGGCAGGUCAGCUGGGGGAUGGAAGAGCCCACUUGAUCGGAGUAUAUACAAACAGGCGUGGUGAGAGGUGGGAACUGCAGUUAAAAGGGUCAGGAAAGACCCCAUACUCCAGGAAUGGUGAUGGAAGAGCUGUGCUUCGCUCUUCUGUUCGAGAGUUUUUAUGUAGUGAGGCCAUGCACUAUCUUGGAAUUCCUACAAGCAGAGC